rnacentral:rRNA from 1 species
UUGACCUCAAAUCAGGUAGGACUACCCGCUGAACUUAAGCAUAUCAAUAAGCGGAGGAAAAGAAACCAACAGGGAUUGCCUUAGUAACGGCGGGUGAAGCGGCAAAAGCUCAAAUUUGAAAUCUGGCACUUUCAGUGUCCGAGUUGUAAUUUGAAGAAGGUAACUUUGGAAUUGGCCCUUGUCUAUGUUCCUUGAACAGGACGUCACAGAGGGUGAGAAUCCCGUGCGAUGAGGUGACCAAUUCUAUGUAAAGUGCUUUCGAAGAGUC